CCUACGGGUGUCAGCAGUGAGGAAUAUUGGUCAAUGGGCGGAAGCCUGAACCAGCCAAGUAGCGUGCAGGAUGACGGCCCUACGGGUUGUAAACUGCUUUUAUACGGGAAUAACGCGCCUUACGUGUAGGGCUUUGCAUGUACCGUAUGAAUAAGGACCGGCUAAUUCCGUGCCAGCAGCCGCGGUAAUACGGAAGGUCCGGGCGUUGUCCGGAUUUCUUGGGUUUAAAGGGAUCGUAGGCCGCAUGUCAAGCGUGUUGUGAAAUGUCCGGGCGCAACCCGGGCCUUGCAGCGCGAACUGGCGUGCGUGAGUCCGCGGAAAGCAGGCGGAAGUCGUCGUGUAGCGGUGAAAUGCUUAGAUAUGACGAAGAACCCCGAUUGCGAAGGCAGCUUGCUGCAGCGGAACUGACGCUGAUGCUCGAAAGCGCGGGUAUCGAACAGGAUUAGAUACCCUUGUAGUC
rnacentral:rRNA from 1 species